rnacentral:rRNA from 1 species
UGGGGAAUAUUGCACAAUGGGCGCAAGCCUGAUGCAGCCAUGCCGCGUGUAUGAAGAAGGCCUUCGGGUUGUAAAGUACUUUCAGCGGGGAGGAAGGCGAUAAGGUUAAUAACCUUGUCGAUUGACGUUACCCGCAGAAGAAGCACCGGCUAACUCCGUGCCAGCAGCCGCGGUAAUACGGAGGGUGCAAGCGUUAAUCGGAAUUACUGGGCGUAAAGCGCACGCAGGCGGUCUGUCAAGUCGGAUGUGAAAUCCCCGGGCUCAACCUGGGAACUGCAUUCGAAACUGGCAGGCUAGAGUCUUGUAGAGGGGGGUAGAAUUCCAGGUGUAGCGGCGAAAUGCGUAGAGAUCUGGAGGAAUACCGGUGGCGAAGGCGGCCCCCUGGACAAAGACUGACGCUCAGGUGCGAAAGCGUGGGGAGCAAACA